rnacentral:rRNA from 1 species
GACGAACGCUGGCGGCGUGCUUAACACAUGCAAGUCGAACGGAAAGGCCCUGCUUUUGUGGGGUGCUCGAGUGGCGAACGGGUGAGUAACACGUGAGUAACCUGCCCUUGACUUUGGGAUAACUUCAGGAAACUGGGGCUAAUACCGGAUAGGAGCUCCUGCUGCAUGGUGGGGGUUGGAAAGUUUCGGCGGUUGGGGAUGGACUCGCGGCUUAUCAGCUUGUUGGUGGGGUAGUUGCUUACCAAGGCUUUGACGGGUAGCCGGCCUGAGAGGGUGGCCGGCCACAUUGGGACUGAGAUACGGCCCAGACUCCUACGGGAGGCAGCAGUGGGGAAUAUUGCACAAUGGGCGGAAGCCUGAUGCAGCAACGCCGCGUGCGGGAUGACGGCCUUCGGGUUGUAAACCGCUUUCGCCUGUGACGAAGCGUGAGUGACGGUAAUGGGUAAAGAAGCACCGGCUAACUACGUG